CAUGGUAAAUGACCUGUCCUGUCCACCCACA
rnacentral:piRNA from 1 species